rnacentral:misc_RNA from 1 species
GAUGAAGAACGUAGCGAAAUGCGAUAAGUAAUGUGAAUUGCAGAAUUCAGUGAAUCAUCGAAUCUUUGAACGCACAUUGCGCCCGCCAGUAUUCUGGCGGGCAUGCCUGUUCGGGCGUCAUUACAACCCUCAGGCCCCCGGGCCUGGCGUUGGGGAUCGGCGGAGCCCCCCGUGGGCACACGCCGUCCCCCAAAUACAGUGGCGGUCCCGCCGCAGCUUCCAUCGCGUAGUAGCUAACACCUCGCGACUGGAGAGCGGCGCGGCCACGCCGUAAAACACCCAACUCUUCUGAAGUUGACCUCGAAUCAGGUAGGAAUACCCGCUGAACUUAAGCAUAUCAAUAAGCGGAGGA